rnacentral:misc_RNA from 1 species
AAACCCCAUCGGGUCCCAAUCUCCCACCCGUGUUACACACCUGGUGUUGCUUUGGCGGGCCCACUCCUCCGGUCUCCGCCGGGGGGGUCGUCCCGGGGCGCGGUUUUGCCGGGGCGCGUGCCCGCCAGAGGCACUCACUGUGAAUGCUUGUUGUGAAUGCGAGGAUUGUCUGAGUGAUGAAAUGCAAUCGUUCAAAACUUUCAACAAUGGAUCUCUUGGUUCCGGCAUCGAUGAAGAACGCAGCGAAAUGCGAUAAGUAAUGUGAAUUGCAGAAUUCCGUGAAUCAUCGAAUCUUUGAACGCACAUUGCGCCCUCUGGUAUUCCGGGGGGCAUGCCUGUCCGAGCGUCAUUGCGAACCCUCAAGCACGGCUUGUGUGUUGGGCCGCCGUCCCCCCGUUGCAGGGGGGGGGACGGGCCUGAAAGGCAGCGGCGGCGUCGCGUCCGGUCCUCGAGCGUAUGGGGCUCUGUCACGCGCUCAAGGAGGGGUCCGGCCGGGGCCAUAGCCUCAAAGGUCAGACUUUUUUCCAAGGUUGACC